AAUACUUCUCAGCCUUUGGGUUAAGAUUAAAUGUAGUAUCUGUUUGUAUCAGUUUAAUAUCUGAUAUGCUUCUAUCUGAGAGCCAUAAAUUAAAUGGAUGGGAUGAGAGCAGGGAGUUAGAAUAACAGCUUUCUCUGUCUGCUCCAUGAAUCACUCUGGUACAGCAGUAUCUCCAGAAAUAGUGUACCCUUU
rnacentral:snRNA from 1 species